GACGAACGCUGGCGGCGUGCUUAACACAUGCAAGUCGAACGGAAAGGCCCUGCUUUUGUGGGGUGCUCGAGUGGCGAACGGGUGAGUAACACGUGAGUAACCUGCCCUUGACUUUGGGAUAACUUCAGGAAACUGGGGCUAAUACCGGAUAGGGGCUCCUGCUGCAUGGUGGGGGUGGGAAAGUUUCGGCGGUGGGGGAUGGACUCGCGGCUUAUCAGCUUGUUGGUGGGGUAGUGGCUCACCAAGGCUUUGACGGGUAGCCGGCCUGAGAGGGUGACCGGCCAAAUUGGGACUGAGUUACGGCCCAGACUCCUACGGGAGGCAGCAGUGGGGAAUAUUGCACAAUGGGCGGAAGCCUGAUGCAGCAACGCCGCGUGCGGGAUGACGGCCUUCGGGUUGUAAACCGCUUUCGCCUGUGACGAAGCGUGAGUGACGGUAAUGGGUAAAGAAGCACCGGCUAACUACGU
rnacentral:rRNA from 1 species